CCGAGUUUACAAACUCCCAAACCCUUUGUGAACCUUACCUAUCGUUGCUUCGGCGGGACCGCCCCGGCGCCUUCGGGCAACGGAACCAGGCGCCCGCCGGAGAACCCAAACUCUUAUGUCUUUAGUGGUUUUCUCCUCUGAGUGACACAUAAACAAAUAAAUAA
rnacentral:misc_RNA from 1 species